UUACGGACAUAUCACGUUGAAACACCGGUCCCUGAAGGAUCACCGAAGUUAAGCAACAUCGAGCCUGGUCAGUACCUGAGUGAGUAACCGUUUGUGAAUACCAG